GAUGAACGCUGGCGGCGUGCCUAAUACAUGCAAGUCGAGCGAACGGACGAGAAGCUUGCUUUUCUGAUGUUAGCGGCGGACGGGUGAGUAAAACGUGGAUAACCUACCUAUAAGACUGGGAUAACUUCGGGAAACCGGAGCUAAUACCGGAUAAUAUUUUGAACCGCAUGGUUCAAAAGUGAAAGACGGUCUUGCUGUCACUUAUAGAUGGAUCCGCGCUGCAUUAGCUAGUUGGUAAGGUAACGGCUUACCAAGGCAACGAUGCAUAGCCGACCUGAGAGGGUGAUCGGCCACACUGGAACUGAGACACGGUCCAGACUCCUACGGGAGGCAGCAGUAGGGAAUCUUCCGCAAUGGGCGAAAGCCUGACGGAGCAACGCCGCGUGAGUGAUGAAGGUCUUCGGAUCGUAAAACUCUGUUAUUAGGGAAGAACAUAUGUGUAAGUAACUGUGCACAUCUUGACGGUACCUAAUCAGAAGGCCACGGCUAACUACGUG
rnacentral:rRNA from 1 species